CCUACGGGUGGCAGCAGUGGGGAAUAUUGCACAAUGGGGGGAACCCUGAUGCAGCGACGCCGCGUGAGUGAAGAAGUAUUUCGGUAUGUAAAGCUCUAUCAGCAGGGAAGAAAAUGACGGUACAUGACUAAGAAGCCCCGGCUAACUACGUGCCAGCAGCCGCGGUAAUACGUAGGGGGCAAGCGUUAGCCGGAUUUAAUGGGUGGAAAGGGAGCGCAGACGGCUGUGCAAGUCUGGAGUGAAAGGCGGGGGCCCAACCCCCGGACUGCUCUGGAAAGUGUAAAGCUGGAGUGCAGGAGAGGUAAGCGGAAUUCCUAGUGUAGCGGUGAAAUGCGUAGAUAUUAGGAGGAACACCAGUGGCGAAGGCGGCUUACUGGACUGCAACUGACGUUGAGGCUCGAAAGCGUGGGGAGCAAACAGGAUUAGAUACCCGGGUAGUC
rnacentral:rRNA from 1 species